GCGGCGGACGGGUGAGUAAUGCCUAGGAAUCUGCCUGGUAGUGGGGGAUAACGCUCGGAAACGGACGCUAAUACCGCAUACGUCCUACGGGAGAAAGCAGGGGACCUUCGGGCCUUGCGCUAUCAGAUGAGCCUAGGUCGGAUUACCUAGUUGGUGAGGUAAUGGCUCACCAAGGCGACCAUCCGUAACUGGUCUGAGAGGAUGAUCAGUCACACUGGAACUGAGACACGGUCCAAACUCCUACGGGAGGCAGCAGUGGGGAAUAUUGGACAAUGGGCGAAAGCCUGAUCCAGCCAUGCCGCGUGUGUGAAGAAGGUCUUCGGAUUGUAAAGCACUUUAAGUUGGGAGGAAGGGCAUUUACCUAAUACGUAAGUGUUUUGACGUUACCGACAGGAUAAGCACCGGCUAACUCUGUGCCAGCAGCCGCGGUAAUACAGAGGGUGCAAGCGUUAAUCGGAAUUACUGGGCGUAAAGCGCGCGUAGGUGGUUUGUUAAGUUGGAUGUGAAAUCCCCGGGCUCAACCUGGGAACUGCAUUCAAAACUGACAAGCUAGAGUAUGGUAGAGGGUGGUGGAAUUUCCUGUGUAGCGGUGAAAUGCGUAGAUAUAGGA
rnacentral:rRNA from 1 species